rnacentral:rRNA from 1 species
AGCGGCGCACGGGUGAGUAACACGUAGGUAACCUGCCCCGUAGUCGGGAAUAACCCGGGGAAACUCGGGCUAAUACCGGAUAAGACCACGACUGCUUCGGCAGUUGCGGCUAAAGGCGGCCUCUACUUGUAAGCUGUCGGCUUACGGGAUGGGCCUGCGGCCCAUUAGCUAGUUGGUAGGGUAACGGCCUACCAAGGCUGUGAUGGGUAGCUGGUCUGAGAGGAUGAUCAGCCACACUGGGACUGAGACACGGCCCAGACUCCUACGGGAGGCAGCAGUGGGGAAUAUUGCGCAAUGGGGGAAACCCUGACGCAGCGACGCCGCGUGGGUGAUGAAGGCCUUCGGGUCGUAAAGCCCUGUCGUAGGGGAAGAACCGGUGGGCGGCUAAUACCCGUUCGCCUUGACGGUACCCUACAAGAAAGCACCGGCUAACUCCGUGCCAGCAGCCGCGGUAAUACGGAGGGUGCGAGCGUUGUUCGGAAUUACUGGGCGUAAAGCGCGUGCAGGCGG